GUAGGUGGCAAGCGUUGUCCGGAAUUAUUGGGCGUAAAGACGCGCGCAGGCGGUUCUUUAAGUACUGAUGUGAAAGACCCACCGGCUCAACCGUGGAGGGUCAUUGGAAACUGGAGAACUUGAGUACAGAAGAGGAAAGCGGAAUUCCACGUGUAGCGGUGAAAUGCGUAGAGAUGUGGAGGAACACCAGUGGCGAAGGCGGCUUUCUGGUCUGUAACUGACGCUGAGGCGCGAAAGCGUGGGGAGCAAACAGGAUUAGAUACCCUGGUAGUCCACGCCGUAAACGAUGAGUGCUAAGUGUUAGGGGGGUUUUCCGCCCCCCUUAGUGCUGCAGCUAACGCAUUAAGCACUCCGCCUGGGAGUACGGCCGCAAGGCUG
rnacentral:rRNA from 1 species